CUGAGCAGAGGCUGGUCCGCCUACAAAGUUAAAGCAACUUUAACUGAACUGUCUUGCAAAGCAGUCCCAGGAUCUGUUCAUACUCUCUGGACAUUAAUUGCUCUCUGUGAUGAAAAACCGAGGCUGAGAGAUGAAGAGGAGCCUCUACGGCCACAAGGCCCCUGCUCCACAUAAAUCUGACCCAUUUAUCCCUGGAAGAUACAGCAGCAGCCCCCAGUCUGCGGUUGAAUGAACCAUGGUCCAAAGACAGGUCAGUAUGGUACAGUCA